UACGUAGGGGGCUAGCGUUGUCCGGAGUUAUUGGGCGUAAAGAGCGCGUAGGCGGCCCUGUAGGUCUGCUGUGAAAACUCGAGGCUCAACCUCGAGACGUCGGCGGAAACCAUCUGGCUAGAGUCCGGAAGAGGAGAGUGGAAUUCCUGGUGUAGCAGUGAAAUGCGUAGAGAUGCGGAGGAACACCGAUGGCGAAGGCAGCCCCCUGGGCUAGCACUGACGCUCAGGCACGAAAGCGUGGGGAGCAAACAGG
rnacentral:rRNA from 1 species